GUGCUCACUUGGGCAGCACCGAUAGUAAAAUUGGAAUGAUGUGGAGAAUUGCAUGGCCCCUGCAUGAGGAUGAUUAAUGGACAUAAGAUGCAUGUAAAU
rnacentral:snRNA from 1 species